rnacentral:rRNA from 1 species
AGGACGAACGCUGGCGGCGUGCUUAACACAUGCAAGUCGAGCGGAAAGGCCCUUCGGGGUACUCGAGCGGCGAACGGGUGAGUAACACGUGAGCAACCUGCCCUUAGCUUCGGGAUAGCUCCGGGAAACCGGAAUUAAUACCGAAUAUGACUUUGGCUGACAUCAGCAGAAGUGGAAAGUUUUUCGGCUAGGGAUGGACUCGCGGCCUAUCAGCUAGUUGGUGAGGUAACGGCCCACCAAGGCGACG